rnacentral:rRNA from 1 species
GACGAACGCUGGCGGCGUGCCUAAUACAUGCCAGUAGAACGCUGAAGGAGGAGCUUGCUUCUCUGGAUGAGUUGCGAACGGGUGAGUAACGCGUAGGUAACCUGCCUGGUAGCGGGUGAUAACUAUUGGAAACGAUAGCUAAUACCGCAUAAGAGUAGAUGUUGCAUGACAUUUGCUUAAAAGGUGCAAUUGCAUCACUACCAGAUGGACCUGCGUUGUAUUAGCUAGUUGGUGAGGUAACGGCUCACCAAGGCGACGAUACAUAGCCGACCUGAGAGGGUGAUAGGCCACACUGGGACUGAGACACGGCCCAGAAGCCUACGGGAGGCAGCAGGAGGGAAUCUUCGGCAAUGGACGGAAGGCUGACAGAGCAACGCAGCGUGAGUGAAGAAGGGUUUCGGAUCGUAAAGCUCUGUUGUAAGAGAAGAACGAGUGUGAGAGUGGAAAGUGCACACUGUGACGGUAUCUUACCAGAAAGGGACGGCUAACUACGUG